CUGUGUGAGAGGAGGCAUGUGCAGGGCACACAUGCAUGCUAGGUGGGCGUGCAUACAUCACCUUGGGUUUCACGCUACUCAAAAGUCUGAGCUUUUGUUUUUGCUCUUCAAACUGACGUCUUUUCCUUUCUUCCUCUAAGAGUUUUUGUUGCUCUUCAGCAAACUGCUUCUGCAUGUCUGGAGUGUAUUGUGGGCCUGGAGGACGCAUGCCCAGAAAUGGUGGCUGCCCCAGGAAAGGCAUGCCUGCUGCUGGCAUUGGUCCCAUUGGUAUUCCUGCCUAGAAGAAACAACAGGCAACAGAUUAAAUAAUAUAUGGGUUUUCUUUUUAAUUAUUAACAAACUUUGCAAAAGUUAUUUCAUAGCAUUUUUACUAGUAAGAUAUAUAAUACAUUCUUAUUAAAUUAAAUACUAAUUUAAUUUAGUAUUAAAGAUUAAAGCAACAU
rnacentral:lncRNA from 1 species